UACGAAGGGGGCGAGCGUUAUUCGGAAUCACUGGGCGUAAAGCGUGCGUAGGCCGUUCUGUAAGUUGGAAGUGAAAGCCCAGGGCUCAACCCUGGAAUUGCUUUCAAAACUACAGAACUAGAAUCUCGGAGAGGAUAGCGGAAUUCCCAGUGUAGUAGUGAAAUACGUAGAUAUUGGGAGGAACACCAGUGGCGCAAGCGGCUAUCUGGACGAGUAUUGACGCUGAGGCACGAAAGCGUGGGGAUCAAACAGG
rnacentral:rRNA from 1 species